GACCCAGUGGCGGAUGGUCCGUGCCUGUUCACCAUGCGUCGCGGAACAUCAGCAUUAUGCAGGCGUCGCUCGUUCGAAUCGAGCCUGGGUCA